rnacentral:rRNA from 1 species
GAUGAACGCUGGCGGCGUGCCUAAUACAUGCAAGUCGAGCGAAUUGAUUAGAAGCUUGCUUCUAUGACGUUAGCGGCGGACGGGUGAGUAACACGUGGGCAACCUGCCUGUAAGACUGGGAUAACUUCGGGAAACCGAAGCUAAUACCGGAUAGGAUCUUCUCCCUCAUGGGAGAUGAUUGAAAGAUGGUUUCGGCUAUCACUUACAGAUGGGCCCGCGGUGCAUUAGCUAGUUGGUGAGGUAACGGCUCACCAAGGCAACGAUGCAUAGCCGACCUGAGAGGGUGAUCGGCCACACUGGGACUGAGACAAGGCCCAGACUCCUACGGGAGGCAGCAGUAGGGAAUCUUCCGCAAUGGACGAAAGUCUGACGGAGCAACGCCGCGUGAGUGAUGAAGGCUCUCGGGUCGUAAAACUCUGUUGUUAGGGAAGAACAAGUACGAGAGUAACUGCUCGUACCUUGACGGUACCUAACCAGAAAGCCACGGCUAACUACGUGCCAGCCGCCGCGGUAACAC